rnacentral:lncRNA from 1 species
AUCACUGAUUUCAUAUCUGAUGAACAACUUGAAAAAUAAACAAUAAUUUACUGAUGAGAUCUCCCUCUGUUCUCCAUGUCCAUGGAGAUGUUACAGUUUAAUUUUUUUCCGGUCCUUAGGUCUAACAUAUUCUGCGAAAAGCUGCAUUUCCUCCUUUAGAAAGAAUUUUACUACUCUAUAACACGUGAGCAUCCUGGCAACCUUCCUAAACCUGUGUGGAGAUGGAUGUGGAAGCUAUUUUGUUUCAGGAUAACCUUUCCCCUGUGUUGCUAUUCUCUGGAUGAAUGGGUGAGUAUUUAAGCUGAUCUUGAUGUAUGAAGGAACAGGAUGCAAUCUGAUGAGGAUGAAGCCCUGCACUCAUUCAGGAACAGUCAUUUUCACCAUCCAUGGAGGUAUUUAAAAGGUAUGUAGAUGUGGCUUUUAUGGACAUGGUUUAGUGGAGGACUUAGCAGUGCUGGAUUAGUGGUUGGAUUUGAUGUUCUUAAUGUUAUUUUCCAAAAAAUUCUUUUUUAGAGAAAAAUACCGAGAAAACCAGAUGCAGCUAGACUGGUCAAUGUUCUGUGUUAUUCAGGUUUCAGGAAUGUACUGUAAUGAUCUCAAUGAGCUCUUAAGAGUUCGCUGAUCCAGGAAUCUCAUGCAUGACAUCCAGACUGAGGGAGAGGAUGAGACGUGCUUCCCACUAACCACAGCAGCUACAGAUCUUCAAAGUUUUAACUGAUUUCAGCAUUAAGGAAAUGAAAUUUACCGUUGCUAUGGGAGAUGACAGAUAAAACCAAAGUAUUUGGAUGUAAAGUGAGCACAGAGUUGAAAAAGGUUGAUGUGGAGUGAUCAAAGGGAAUCCUUUAUCCUUCACAAAAGAUGGAAAGAAAUGCAGCUAAGGAAAAAAAUCUCUUUCAGUCACAUUAGAAAGAGUGAAAGAGACAUUUCCAUACACAAAUUUCUCUGUGCAAAUUUCAGAAC